CAUGGGAUAUGAACACUUCAAGCUUUUUUUACGACGCAUCAGAAUUGCCACAGUAUAAAAAGAGAUCCCUAACUCCUUCCUGAACAGAACGGAAGAAGCCGAGGAAGCUAAAAUUAUUCAAACCAGUACAUGUUGACAUCAGUAACAGUUUUCUUCGUACCAUAUUCCGAACAUCUACAUAUUUCAUUUCGACUACCAACAAUCCUGAAAAAUAUGAAGUGGAUAAUCCCUCUCGUUUUCUCGUGUUUUUAUUUCGUCGGCGGGACUCCGUACAUCCCUGAAAAUAAAAUUACGGUGGUCAUUGCCAACGCUACGCAACAGGAGUGCAAUGACAGACCGAUCAUUUUUACUUGUGACUACUACAUGCCUCCACACCUAGGGGGCCCUUGCCUUUCCCGAUGCUGGCAUAAUUCAUGGGAAACACGUGACAAUUGGUGCAGCAUGAAUGGACAUUGGGAAAGACGUGACAGUUUUAAAGCUCCAUGGUUUAUGGGGGGGACCUGCUUCUGCUGUGAUUGCCGGGGCCCAGAAAGUGAGAGAUGUUGAUAGGUAUAAAUAAUUAUAAGUAAGUGGAUAGACGAAGUCUCGUAUUUUCGUCUUCCUAUUUGUACAUAAAUUUGUAACUAGCUAAGCAAAAAAUUCAAUAAGAUUGAAAAUAAUUCGAUUCAAAUACAUACUUAAUCGCAAAAAGAGAGUUGAUAUCCAUUACUAUAAAUUAUUUGAUAAUUAUAACAGCUUGUUAGGUUCAGGUGGUGAAGUCAAAAUUAUUCUACAAUAAAUAAACAGAUUCACAAUUUGACGCCCUUGUACAGUAAUUCGGUGCUUGACGUAUGUAUAAAAAGGUUUUCUCGUUAAUGCAUUACCUGAUGUAUUUGUAUUGAUUCUUGUAAUAAUAAUGAAUUAAGUGAG